rfam:Firmicutes bacterium CAG:56 genomic scaffold, scf318
UAGUUUUACAGAAAACUGCCAGAGACAGCAGGUGCCGUUAGGCAUAAGGUUAAAACGCCUGCCGAGGAGUGAAGAAUUCUUAAAAGAAUGAUUACAGAACCUCUCUGUUAGUUUGACAGAGAGGUUUUUCAUUGUUAUG